rnacentral:rRNA from 1 species
AGUGAACGCUGGCGGUAGGCCUAACACAUGCAAGUCGAACGGCAGCACAGUAAGAGCUUGCUCUUACGGGUGGCGAGUGGCGGACGGGUGAGGAAUACAUCGGAAUCUACUUUUUCGUGGGGGAUAACGUAGGGAAACUUACGCUAAUACCGCAUACGACCUACGGGUGAAAGCAGGGGAUCUUCGGACCUUGCGCGAUUGAAUGAGCCGAUGUCGGAUUAGCUAGUUGGCGGGGUAAAGGCCCACCAAGGCGACGAUCCGUAGCUGGUCUGAGAGGAUGAUCAGCCACACUGGAACUGAGACACGGACCAGACUCCUACGGGAGGCAGCAGUGGGGAAUAUUAGGCAAUGGGCGCAAGCCUGAUCCAGCCAUACCGCGUGGGUGAAGAAGGCCUUCGGGUUGUAAAGCCCUUUUGUUGGGAAAGAAAAGCAGCAGGUUAAUACCCCGCUGUUCUGACGGUACCCAAAGAAUAAGCACCGGCUAACUUCGUG